AUUUGGCGGACGGGUGAGUAACGCGUGGGAAUCUGCCCCUUGCUUCGGAAUAACAGUUAGAAAUGACUGCUAAUACCGGAUGAUGUCUUCGGACCAAAGAUUUAUCGGCAAGGGAUGAGCCCGCGUAGGAUUAGGUAGUUGGUGGGGUAAAGGCCUACCAAGCCGACGAUCCUUAGCUGGUCUGAGAGGAUGAUCAGCCACACUGGGACUGAGACACGGCCCAGACUCCUACGGGAGGCAGCAGUGGGGAAUAUUGGACAAUGGACGCAAGUCUGAUCCAGCAAUGCCGCGUGAGUGAUGAAGGCCUUAGGGUUGUAAAGCUCUUUUACCAGGGAUGAUAAUGACAGUACCUGGAGAAUAAGCUCCGGCUAACUCCGUGCCAGCAGCCGCGGUAAUAAU
rnacentral:rRNA from 1 species